rnacentral:lncRNA from 1 species
UCUGCUCCUCUUUUCUUUCUGAAAGUCCAUUUGCACCUUAUGGAUUUAAUCCCUUCGGAUGGAUUAACAAGUAUCCAUACACUAUUGAUCUCCAUGGAUUUCAUUUUGGAUAUCAUGGCAUUCAGUCAUUUCUCAGAGUCAGACCUCUGCAUGACGUCCAUAUAGAUAAUCAAAUUCUCAUCAUUUUUAUCUAGUUUAACAAGAUCACCAUCUCGGCUCAAGAAAUUGUAAUAUCUAUCCAGUUGAUGCGGUAC